UGGUCAAGUUAUUAAGGGUGCAGGGCGGAUGCCUUGGCACUAGGAGCCGAUGAAGGACGUGAUAAGCUGCGAUAAGCUUCGGGGAGUUGCACGUAAACUUUGAUCCGAAGAUUUCCGAAUGAGGAAACUCACUUAGAGUAAUGUCUAAGUAUCAUUAAGUGAAUACAUAGCUUAAUGAGGGGAACUCAGGGAACUGAAACAUCUAAGUACCUGAAGGAAGAGAAAGAAAUUCGAUUCCGUAAGUAGCGGCGAGCGAACGCGGAUUAGCCCAAACCAAUAAAGUUUUCUUUAUUGGGGUUGCGGACAUAUCAUAACGAAGAGGUAUCGUAAUUGAAGAGGUUUGGAAAGACCCACCACAGAAGGUAAUAGUCCUGUAUGUUAAACGAGAA
rnacentral:rRNA from 1 species